GGGCUGCCUUUGAGCCCCUGCUGCACCUACAUGGCACCGAGGGUCAGGGUGCAGCACACCAGAGCACAGCUCACCCAUACCUGGGGCGGGGGCAGAGCCGGUCUUCACUCACGUGACAGUUGAAGGG
ensembl:snoRNA